CCUACGGGAGGCAGCAGUGAGGAAUAUUGGUCAAUGGACGAGAGUCUGAACCAGCCAAGUAGCGUGAAGGAUGACUGCCCUAUGGGUUGUAAACUUCUUUUAUAUGGGAAUAAAACGUUCCACGUGUGGGAUUUUGUAUGUAGCAUAUGAAUAAGGAUCGGCUAACUCCGUGCCAGCAGCCGCGGUAAUACGGAGGAUCCGAGCGUUAUCCGGAUUUAUUGGGUUUAAAGGGAGCGUAGGUGGAUUGUUAAGUCAGUUGUGAAAGUUUGCGGCUCAACCGUAAAAUUGCAGUUGAAACUGGCAGUCUUGAGUACAGUAGAGGUGGGCGGAAUUCGUGGUGUAGCGGUGAAAUGCUUAGAUAUCACGAAGAACUCCGAUUGCGAAGGCAGUUCACUGGACUGCAACUGACACUGAGGCUCGAAAGUGUGGGUAUCAAACAGGAUUAGAUACCCCGGUAGUC
rnacentral:rRNA from 1 species